rnacentral:rRNA from 1 species
GGAUGUGAAAUCCCCGGGCUCAACCUGGGAACUGCAUUCGAAACUGGCAGGCUAGAGUCUUGUAGAGGGGGGUAGAAUUCCAGGUGUAGCGGUGAAAUGCGUAGAGAUCUGGAGGAAUACCGGUGGCGAAGGCGGCCCCCUGGACAAAGACUGACGCUCAGGUGCGAAAGCGUGGGGAGCAAACAGGAUUAGAUACCCUGGUAGUCCACGCCGUAAACGAUGUCGAUUUGGAGGUUGUGCCCUUGAGGCGUGGCUUCCGGAGCUAACGCGUUAAAUCGACCGCCUGGGGAGUACGGCCGCAAGGUUAAAACUCAAAUGAAUUGACGGGGGCCCGCACAAGCGGUGGAGCAUGUGGUUUAAUUCGAUGCAACGCGAAGAACCUUACCUGGUCUUGACAUCCACAGAACUUUCCAGAGAUGGAUUGGUGCCUUCGGGAACUGUGAGACAGGUGCUGCAUGGCUGUCGUCAGCUCGUGUUGUGAAAUGUUGGGUUAAGUCCCGCAACGAGCGCAACCCUUAUCCUUUGUUGCCAGCGGUUAGGCCGGGAACUCAAAGGAGACUGCCAGUGAUAAACUGGAGGAAGGUGGGGAUGACGUCAAGUCAUCAUGGCCCUUACGACCAGGGCUACACACGUGCUACAAUGGCAUAUACAAAGAGAAGCGACCUCGCGAGAGCAAGCGGACCUCAUAAAGUAUGUCGUAGUCCGGAUUGGAGUCUGCAACUCGACUCCAUGAAGUCGGAAUCGCUAGUAAUCGUAGAUCAGAAUGCUACGGUGAAUACGUUCCCGGGCCUUGUACAACACCGCCCGUCACACCCAUGGGAGUGGGUUGCAAAAGAAGUAGGUAGCUUAA